rnacentral:rRNA from 1 species
GACGAACGCUGGCGGCGUGCUUAACACAUGCAAGUCGAACGGGCCCGCGCUCUUUUUUGGGGUUGGGUUGAGUGGCCAACGGGGGAGUACCACGUAAGUAACCUGCCCGCGGCUCCUGGAUAACUGCUUGAAAGGCUGGUUAAUCCGGGGUGUGGCGGCUGGUCCCCAUGGGCCUUGUCGGGAUGGGUUCUUCUUCGGGUGGUUCGGUGGGUGAUGGGCUCGCGGGCUAUCAGCUUGUUGGUGCGGUGAUGGCCCACCAGGGCGGUGAUGGGUAGCCGGCGUGAGAGGGUGGCCGGCCACACUGGGAGUGACAGACCGGCCAGACACGUGCGGGAGGCGGCGGUGGGGGGUAUUGCAGAGUGGGAGGCAGCCUGAUGCAGCGACGGCGCGUGACGGAUGGAGGCCUGCGGGUUGCGGACCUCUUUCGGCGGUGGUGGAGGCCGGGUACGUUGUGGCGGGGUUGACGGUAGCGGGGUAAGAAGCGCCGGCUAACUACGUG